AUAAAUUUUUUAUAGUUUAUAAAUUUAUUAUAAAUUUAUUUUGCAUAUAAAUUUUAGUGUUAAUUUUUCAUUAUUUUAAUAAUUUUUGAAUUUUAAAUUAUAUAGCAAUUAAUAUUAAAAAUUUAAGAAAUUAAGAUUUAGUAAUAUUUAAAUUAAUAACAAAUUUUGUGCCAGCAGUUGCGGUUAUACAAAAAUUAAAUUAAAUUUUAUUAGUAAUUAAUUUAUAAAAAUUUUAUUUAAUUAAAUAUUAAAUUUAAUAGGUGAAAUUUUUAUUUAAUUUAAUUUAAUUUAAUUUUAUAAUUUAAUAAAUUUAUAUUAUAAACUAGGAUUAGAUACCCUAUUAUUAAAAAUUUAAAUUUAAAAUACUAAAAUAGUAUAUAAUUAUUUAUUGAAACUUAAAUAAUUUGGCGGUAUUUUAGUUCAUUUAGAGGAAUCUGUUUAUUAAUUGAUAAUCCACGAAUGAAUUUACUUAAUUUAAAAUUUUGUAUAUCGUUGUUAAAAAAAUAUUUUUAAAUGAAAAUAAUAUUUUAAUUUUAUAAUUAAAAAUUAAAUCAGAUCAAGAUGCAGAUUAUAAUUAAGAAUAUAAUGGAUUACAAUAAAUUUAUUUAAAUGGAUUCUUUUUUGUAAUAAAAAUUUGAAAGUGGAUUUAAAUGUAAUUUUAUUUAUUUUAAUAAAAUGAUUAUAUAUUAAAAUAUGUACAUAUUGCCCGUCGCUUUCAUAAAUAAAUUGGAAUAAGUCGUAACAAAGUAGAGGUACUGGAAAGUGUUUCUAGAAAUAA
rnacentral:ncRNA from 1 species